CCUCUGAAACUACUGGGCCAAAUUAAACCAAACUUGGCCACAAUCAUCAUUGGGGUAUUUAGUUAAAAAAUUGUGUCCGAUGACCUGGCCAACCAACCAAGAUGGCCGCCAUGGCUAAAAAUAGAACAUAACGGUGAAAUUUAGAUUUUGGCUUAUAACUCUGAAACCGCAGCCUUUAGAGCAAAUCUGACAUGGGAUAAAAUUGUUUAUCAGGUCAAGAUCUAUCUGCCCUGAAAUUUUCAGAUGAAUCUGACAACCCGUUGUUGGGUUGCUGCCCCUGAAUUGGUAAUUUUAAGGAAAUUUUGCUGUUUUUGGUUAUUAUCUUGAAUAUUAUUAUAGAUAGAGAUAAACUGUAAACAUCAAUAAUGUUAAGCAAAGUAAGAUUUACAAAUAAGUCAACAUGACGGAAAUGGUCAAUUGACCCUAAGGAGUUAUUGUCCUUAUAGUCAAUUUUUAACAAUUUUCAUAAAAUUUGUAAAUUUUAACUAACAUUUUCCACUGAAACUACUGGGC
rnacentral:lncRNA from 1 species